AGUGGCUGGGCGGGGCGGGCUGUGAGGACUGAGGUCUGUAGCGAAGGUCCAGCCCCGUGGUCUUCGCUUCGUUCGGCAACGAACGCCCAGCGAAGGGACAUCCCUGUAGAAGUUCUGCUGCGUGUGGUCCAGCCGUCCCCACUCCUCCCGGGAGAGGUACAAGGCCACAUCCUCGAAAGUCACUGGCAUCUGAAACAAUGUGAAACAUCCACUCUCCAGGACAUGACGUGGACACGGUGGAGGGACACCAUGGCAUGAGAUGUGUGGUGAGACCCCGGACUCCCAACCCACUGUGUCGAGUGAGGCCUGCCACUUCCAUCUGAUCGGGAAGCAGGUGAGCCACCCAAGGCCUUCUGGGGAGUUGAGAAAGAACAAAGACCAAGAGGUAUUUUCAGGGAUCACAGUUAAGACUUAGGAUGUCCAUGCAGCCCCCAGCCUCAGCUGAGACCUCGGAGGACGGUUCCCAACGGCUACCAGCGAGAGGCCCUGUGUCUCUAAUUCCUGCUGCUUCUCCUCCAGCUUUGGCCCAGGCCUGACCAUGGGCCUUGAGCCUGGACAAUUCCAGCAACACUAG
rnacentral:lncRNA from 1 species